CUAUUCAAGCCAUGUAGGAGCUCCAGCGCUCAGGUGAAUAUCAAAUUUCAAUAGACAUCCUAGCUUUGACAUCGUUACAGCCUGGAGCCUCUUCGAUGCUUCUCACUGCAAGGUAUGAGAAGGGGUCUCACGAAGCCGAGCUCACUUCCAGCAUUCUCAUAAUGGCAGGCAAUCGCUUCCUCCAGACGCUGAACUUCCCAGUGCUUCAGCUAGACGGCCAAGAAAGUCUGACACCAUUUCUUCCUUAUUUCUGCAACAUUGUCCUUUCCCCUGAAAAGAUCAAAAGCAAAGGUCUUCUGCUGAUGCAUCCAUGACCACUGCAGCUGAGUCCAUCCAUCUUGUUGCUGGUUGUCCAUUUACCAUUUCUAGCAUUAGAGUCUUUUCUAUAGAGAUCUUAACAUAAUGUGCCUUCAUGUUAAAUCUGGUUCUGAUGUCAGCAUAAAUUACACUUUCAUAUAAAACUAAUAAAGAUAGUAGUUUUGCAGUAACAAAGAGCAACCGUAAGAAUAAAAUAUGGAUUGGCAGAA